rnacentral:rRNA from 1 species
UACGUAGGGUCCGAGCGUUGUCCGGAAUUACUGGGCGUAAAGAGCUCGUAGGUGGUUUGUCGCGUUGUUCGUGAAAACUCACAGCUUAACUGUGGGCGUGCGGGCGAUACGGGCAGACUUGAGUACUGCAGGGGAGACUGGAAUUCCUGGUGUAGCGGUGGAAUGCGCAGAUAUCAGGAGGAACACCGGUGGCGAAGGCGGGUCUCUGGGCAGUAACUGACGCUGGAGGAGCGAAAAGCGUGGGGGACGAACAGG